GACGAACGCUGGCGGCGUGCCUAAUACAUGCAAGUCGAGCGGACUGAAUGGGAGCUUGCUCUUGUUCGGUCAGCGGCGGACGGGUGAGUAACACGUGGGCAACCUGCCCGCAAGACCGGGAUAACUCCGGGAAACCGGAGCUAAUACCGGAUAACACCGAAGACCGCAUGGUCUUUGGUUGAAAGGCGGCGCAAGCUGCCACUUGCGGAUGGGCCCGCGGCGCAUUAGUUAGUUGGUGAGGUAACGGCUCACCAAGGCGACGAUGCGUAGCCGGCCUGAGAGGGUGACCGGCCACACUGGGACUGAGACACGGCCCAGACUCCUACGGGAGGCAGCAGUAGGGAAUCUUCCGCAAUAGGCGAAAGCCUGACGGAGCGACGCCGCGUGAGCGAAGAAGGCCUUCGGGUCGUAAAGCUCUGUUGUGAGGGACGAAGGAGCGCCGUUUGAAGAAGGCGGCGCGGUGACGGUACCUCACGAGGAAGCCCCGGCUAACUACGUG
rnacentral:rRNA from 1 species